UUCCGGUUGAUCCUGCCGGAGGUCAUUGCUAUUGGAGUCCGAUUUAGCCAUGCUAGUCGCACGGGUUUAGACCCGUGGCAAAUAGCUCAGUAACACGUGGUCAAACUACCCUGUCGAGCGCGAUAACCUCGGGAAACUGAGGCUAAUAGCGCAUACGGCUCGAUGCCUGGAAUUGGCUCGAGCUCGAAAUGCUUCGGCGCGACAGGAUGUGGCUGCGGCCGAUUAGGUAGACGGUGGGGUAACGGCCCACCGUGCCGAUAAUCGGUACGGGUUGUGAGAGCAAGAGCCCGGAGACGGUAUCUGAGACAGGAUACCGGGCCCUACGGGGCGCAGCAGGCGCGAAACCUUUACACUGCACGACAGUGCGAUAAGGGGACUCCAAGUGCGAGGGCAUAUCGUCCUCGCUUUUUCCUACCGUAAGGUGGUAGGCGAAUAAGGGCUGGGCAAGACCGGUGCCAGCCGCCGCGGUAAUACCGGCAGCCCAAGUGAUGACCGCUAUUAUUGGGCCUAAAGCGUCCGUAGCCGGCCGAACAAGUCCGUCGGGAAAUCCGCACGCCUAACGUGCGGGCGUCCGGCGGAAACUGUUCGGCUUGGGACCGGAAGAUCCAGAGGGUACGUCUGGGGUAGGAGUGAAAUCCCGUAAUCCUGGACGGACCACCGGUGGCGAAAGCGCUCUGGAAGGACGGAUCCGACGGUGAGGGACGAAAGCUAGGGUCACGAACCGGAUUAGAUACCCGGGUAGUCCUAGCCGUAAACGAUGUCUGCUAGGUGUGGCGCUGGCUACGAGCCAGCGCUGUGCCGUAGGGAAGCCGUGAAGCAGACCGCCUGGGAAGUACGUCUGCAAGGAUGAAACUUAAAGGAAUUGGCGGGGGAGCACUACAACCGGAGGAGCCUGCGGUUUAAUUGGAUUCAACGCCGGA
rnacentral:rRNA from 1 species